rnacentral:rRNA from 1 species
AACGAACGCUGGCGGCAGGCCUAACACAUGCAAGUCGAACGCCGUAGCAAUACGGAGUGGCAGACGGGUGAGUAACACGUGGGAACGUACCCUUCGGUUCGGAAUAACUCAGGGAAACUUGAGCUAAUACCGGAUACGUCCGAGAGGAGAAAGAUUUAUCGCCGAGGGAUCGGCCCGCGUCUGAUUAGCUUGUUGGUGAGGUAACGGCUCACCAAGGCGACGAUCAGUAGCUGGUCNGAGAGGAUGAUCAGCCACAUUGGGACUGAGACACGGCCCAAACUCCUACGGGAGGCAGCAGUGGGGAAUAUUGGACAAUGGGGGCAACCCUGAUCCAGCGACGCCGCGUGUGUGAAGAAGGCCUGCGGGUUGUAAAGCUCUUUUGUCAGGGAAGAAACGGUGGAGGCUAAUAUCCUUUGCUAAUGACGGUACCUGAAGAAUAAGCACCGGCUAACUACGUGCCAGCAGCCGCGGUAAU